rnacentral:rRNA from 1 species
AUGUCGUCGUCGGCGCUCUCCCGCAGCAGGGCUACUACUGCCACCAGUGCCACCAUGCCAUCACCAUCGCCGCCCCCGCCUCCCGCGACGACGAAGUCUUCUGCCUUGUCUGCGCCGGGGGCUUCGUCGAGGAGCUCUUCGACGAGGAGGAGCCCCCAAACCCUAUCCCCCACCACCAGCCCCACCCGUCUCCCUUGUUCCCCUUCUCCAGCCUCCUCGACCUCCACAACCCCAGUGACCUCGCGGUGGUUCCUCGGCCCGCCCUCCCCCUCCGCGACCCCCGCCGCCACCGCCUCCUCCAACCCCAGCAACCAGUUCGACGUCCACCUUGGAGGCCUCCUCUCCGGCGGCGCCACCAUCCAGAUUGUCCUCGAGGGCUCCUCCUUCCCCGGUGGAUUCGUCUCCUCGCCCGCCCCCGGCGCCGGCGGGGUCAGCCUCGUCGACUACUUCAUGGGAUCCGGCCUCAAGCAGCUCAUCCAGCAGCUCGCUGAGAACGACCCUAGCCGCUAUGGCACCCUGCCCACCGCCAAGGCUGCGGUUGCCGCACUCCCUAAUGUCGCCGUCGAUGGGGGCGCCCAGCACGUCUUCCACAAGGACUGCAUCCUGCCAUGGCUUGACCUCCACAGCUCCUGCCCUGUCUGCCGCCAUCUAUGA